CCAAAGGGGAGUGGACACGAGGCGGUGUGCCAGCGAGAACGCUGGACCCCAAAGUGGGUGGAUUGUGAGAUCUCAUAUUAGUUGGGGAGGGAAAU